CGGCGGACGGGUGAGUAACGCGUGGGUAACCUGCCUUACACAGGGGGAUAACACUGGGAAACCAGUGCUAAUACCGCAUAACAUCAUUUUAUGGCAUCAUGAAAUGAUCAAAGGAGAAAUCCGGUGUAAGAUGGGCCCGCGUCCGAUUAGCUAGUUGGUGAGGUAAUGGCUCACCAAGGCAGCGAUCGGUAGCCGGACUGAGAGGUUGGCCGGCCACAUUGGGACUGAGACACGGCCCAGACUCCUACGGGAGGCAGCAGUGGGGAAUAUUGCGCAAUGGGGGGAACCCUGACGCAGCGACGCCGCGUGAAGGAAGGAGGCCUUCGGGUUGUAAACUUCUUUGAUUGGGGAAGAAAAAUGACNGUACCCAAAGAACAAGCCACGGCUAACUACGUGCCAGCAGCCGCGGUAAUACGUAGGUGGCGAGCGUUAUCCGGAAUUACUGGGUGUA
rnacentral:rRNA from 1 species